rnacentral:rRNA from 1 species
GUAGGGAAUAUUGCGCAUUGGACGAAAGUCUGACGCAGCGACGCCGCGUGAGUGAUGAAGGCCUUAGGGUCGUAAAGCUCUGUUGAAUGGGAAGAAAAAAAUGACGGUACCAUUCGAGGAAGGACCGGCUAACUUCGUGCCAGCAGCCGCGGUAAUACGAGGGGUCCUAGCGUUGUUCGGAAUCAUUGGGCGUAAAGGGUGUGUAGGUGGCCAUGUAAGUCAGGUGUGAAAGCCCCGGGCUCAACCCGGGAAGUGCACUUGAUACUGCGUGGCUUGAGUACCGAAGAGGGUAGUGGAAUUCCAGGUGUAGUGGUGAAAUACGUAGAUAUCUGGAGGAACACCGGUGGCGAAGGCGGCUACCUGGUCGAGUACUGACACUGAGACACGAAAGCAUGGGGAUCAAACAGGAUUAGAAACCCCAGUAGUCC